rnacentral:lncRNA from 1 species
ACCAAGGACGAAGUCAUUGCGAAUUCUGCAUUUUACCUCACCGCUGGUAUGGAAGCCACCCCCAACACGAUGGGCAUGACUCUGCACCUGAUUGCGCGACAUCCAGAGGUCCAAGACAAACUUCGUGCGGAGAUCUUGCGUGUGCUGAAGAGAGAUGGCAAGUUCACGCAGAGGAAUGUCUCGGAGAUGACUUAUCUGGACAUGGUCUUGAACGAAAGCAUGCGAUUCUACCCUGGAGUAGUUGG